rnacentral:rRNA from 1 species
AGGAAGCCACGGCUAACUACGUGCCAGCAGCCGCGGUAAUACGUAGGUGGCGAGCGUUGUCCGGGAUUACUGGGUGUAAAGGGUGCGUAGGCGGGCUGUUAAGUCAGAUGUGAAAUACCGAAGCUCAACUUCGGGGCUGCAUUUGAAACUGAUGGUCUUGAGUGAGGUAGAGGCAAGCGGAAUUCCCAGUGUAGCGGUGAAAUGCGUAGAUAUUGGGAGGAACACCAGUGGCGAAGGCGGCUUGCUGGGCCUUAACUGACGCUGAGGCACGAAAGCAUGGGGAGCAAACAGGAUUAGAUACCCUGGUAGUCCAUGCUGUAAACGAUGGAUACUAGGUGUGGGGGGUAUUGACCCCUCCCGUGCCGGAGUUAACACA